rnacentral:rRNA from 1 species
AUUGAACGCUGGCGGCAUGCUUUACACAUGCAAGUCGAACGGUAACAGGCCGCAAGGUGCUGACGAGUGGCGCACGGGUGAGUAAUGCAUCGGAACGUGCCCAGUCGUGGGGGAUAACUACUCGAAAGAGUAGCUAAUACCGCAUACGAUCUAUGGAUGAAAGCGGGGGACCGUAAGGCCUCGCGCGAUUGGAGCGGCCGAUGUCAGAUUAGGUAGUUGGUGGGGUAAAGGCUCACCAAGCCAACGAUCUGUAGCUGGUCUGAGAGGACGACCAGCCACACUGGGACUGAGACACGGCCCAGACUCCUACGGGAGGCAGCAGUGGGGAAUUUUGGACAAAGGGCACAAGCCUGAUCCAGCAAUGCCGCGUGCAGGAAGAAGGCCUUCGGGUUGUAAACUGCUUUUGUACGGAACGAAACGGCUCUGGUUAAUACCCGGGGCUAAUGACGGUACCGUAAGAAUAAGCACCGGCUAACUACGUG